rnacentral:rRNA from 1 species
AGCGCAGGCGGGACUGCAAGUUGGAUGUGAAAUACCGCAGCUUAACUGCGGAGCUGCAUCCAAAACUGUAGUUCUUGAGUGGAGUAGAGGCAAGCGGAAUUCCGAGUGUAGCGGUGAAAUGCGUAGAUAUUCGGAGGAACACCAGUGGCGAAGGCGGCUUGCUGGGCUCUAACUGACGCUGAGGCUCGAAAGUGUGGGGAGCAAACA